CUGAUGUUCUUCAAGAUGUGUUGCUCAUGUCUGUUCUACAUCCUGCCCUCCUUCCCCUCUGUUGGAGUUGUCUGGCAAGAAGGAACUGAGGGUGAGGGGAGCGCGCAGCGUCCCUUAUACCGCACCAUGGAGGUGCCAUUCCAGGGGUCGCUAGGGCACUUCCCUAUGGGUACUGCUAGGGGAAAAACUUCCAGCACCGGUGCACAUGGCUUGCACACACACACCUGUUGUGGAAUAGACAUGAGCAACACAUCUUGAAGAACACCAAUUAUGGAAAAUGUAACUGUCUUAUCUCCACCACUUAGCCUGACCUGUAAAGGCCUGAUCUAAUUCCUAUUGAAAUCAGCGGAAAGACUCCAGUUGACUUCAGUGGGAUAUUGAUCAAGUUCUGAAUUAUGCAAGGUUAGCAGGAAGGAGCAGCGACUUACUAUUUCAUAUUUUUUGUUUUACUCCACACCAACCUGUAACUCUUUAUUCCUAAAGGUGGACUUACAAAGUUAAAAAUGAACUGGUGCCCAUUUUGCUUUUUUUAAAAAAUGCAUGUAGAAGUGUGAAUUUGUUUCAGAAGUUUUUGCUUUAUUUUUUAUGAGAGAAAUUUAGGUCCCAUCUAGGCUGAAAAACUGGAGAGCUAGUGUAAAUGGUGACGACAUAAGAAGCAGCAAGAUAGUGAAAAUUAAGCUGUUAGGGGAAAGGAUUUUUAGUCAGACUUCCUAAAACUAUUUUUUAUUGGCACUUAAGCAGUUACCAUUUUGAAUACAGGAAGCCUUUGUUAGUCAUCACCCUCUCCUCCUCAAUUAAAAUGUUAUAUCUGUUGUAAUUGCUCAUUUUCCACUUCACAAAAUGCCUCCCAACACAAAACCAAAGAAGACAAUAUUAUGCAUUCCUGCUAUUAUUAAGACACAAGCUGGGGCAGAGGGAGAGAGACUGUUCAAGUUGUUUUCCUACAUCAUAGAGGAGAUACCCUUUCAGAGUUCUGUUUGAGUUCUGUGCUUUUCUCUUGGGAUUCAGUCUCCCUUCUGUAUUAGCUACUGAUCCUCCACUGAUACAUCCUCUGAAUUUAACUGAUUGCAAAUGUCAGUUGAUGUUAUUUUUCCUCCUUUCUUUGUACCAGUUUCUUCAGAGAAGUAUCCUAUUCCCUGGUAUAUUUUUUUUGAAAUCUCCAGUGGGAAGGAGAAAUCCAUUUUCUUGCCAGCUUUGUAUGGAGUUCAGAGUUUGUCUGCGGUACUGGGGGUAGGGUGGGGUGAGGAUUAGCUUCAGAAUAUUAAUGAUGACUUUGAACAUAAUGAGGGUGAAGUUUACUUUCCACUUUUCUGGGGGCUUAGCCUUCACUCUUCUGGGUCAAAAACACUCUGUUGGAGUUCAGUGGCACUUUUUGGUUACUGCCCUAGUCCAGAGGUUUUCGAAGUCUGUCAUCAUAUGGAUCACUAAAGUAUGAGAAUUUAAUGAACAAUUUCCCACUCCAUACAUCCCCGUUCCGCACCACAAUAUCCCUGUUGCAAGUAGUGUACUUGAUGAAUUAGUAAAUGCCAAACUACAUUUUUUUAGAAGUAAUUUGAAUCCUGUCUUCCUUUUUCUUUUCAUUUCCUUUCUCCCCAGCUGCUUCUACAAGCAUCAGUGUUCUGUAGUGAGGAGCCUGUUUGCCUGUAGAAGACACUGUAAAUAAGCAGCUAGCACAAGCUGAAAGCAAGAACCCUUUGUAAGCCUUAAUUUGAGAACUGCUGCCACAAUAUUUUUCUCCAGAAGUUGAAACCUGAUUUAAACUACACGUGAAAUGAAUUUUUUUUCUUACUAUACUCCCUAGCAAAUAUUCAUCCCAGAGCGUGGCACAACUGACCGUUUUUGUUCAGUGUGCCUGGAUUGGAAUAGCAGGGUGUUAGGAUUGAGGUGAACUGACAGACAUUGGGAUAAGUAGCAGUGGGAGAGCAGGAGGUGUUCAAGAGUAGAAUGAGGGUAUGUUGGUGGAUAUGUGGGGGGCGGCAGGGAGUUUGUAUGGGUCCCUUCACUUUUGUGAAAUGACAUAAGUUUUUGUUUUUUUUGCUGUGGUUUACAGAUAAAUAUAUUUUAUGGGUUACCUACUGUACUGGUCUCUGCUUGUAGGGCUCUAGUGCUCUGACUUGGAAGUUCUAGGCUGACUUUGGAUUCUUGACUCUAGAAUUUCAGGAGUAGGGUUUAGCUUGAGAGGGGUUUUGUUUGUGGUGACUGAGUGGUGCCAUACUUGGUUACCUCUCUUCCCUGAGAUGGCUGUCUGAACAUUUUAUAUGAAGUAGGAAGUUACCUUUCAUUUCAUCUUAGAAAGUUCUUGGUUCUAUUCAUCUGCUGAUAAGGUGGAAUAAGUAAAGCUCUCUGGAGUGAAUAAUACUGAAUACACAAGCUUCUUGUAAAUUCAAAGAGCACUGUUUGAAUGAUACAAGAAGCUGCAUGUUUCGUUGUGCUAUACUGGAGUGCAGCAGAAAUGAAGAGCCCUUCUCGCAGUGAAUUUAGAACAAGUUUACUGCAAGAUCGAUGGGGCCUUACUAAGCUGCAAUGUAACAAGGGAAUUCCAUGUGAAACCUGCUGGCUUUAUUCCUAGCGCUUAUCAAUGAGCCUAGUAUUGGACAUCUAUAACAUCUAGCAAUGCAUGUGGGAAGAGGUAACCCCUUUCAAAUAAUCUGAAAUGACUUGGAUUAUAUAGUUAAAUUAAGUUUGACUUUCUUGAUAUAACACAAUACAAGAGGACAAACCAGUAUAUCUCUUCUAAGGAUAAAUCUUGUGUCUAACCUCUUGCAGUUCUUUGAAAGGGUUAACUAAAUAAUGACAAAAUUAUUUAAACUUUUAAAAAGCUAUUGAAAAAAACCAUCUUCAGACGUGAAUUCUUCCUGACCACAUUUGUGUUUAAGGGAUAAAGGUAGGUAGAGAGCUGAGACGUAAGGUUUUGGUAUAGAUUAAAAAUAGUUAGGGGUUAAGCAAAAAGAGGGAAUAGUUGUCUGGUUUUCAGCAUGGAAAGGGCUUAAAGGAAACCUCACAGAUAAGUUCUAGGACUGGUGUUUAAUAUAUUAAUUAUUUGGAAAUUAAGGGUGAAUAGAGAGGUGGCAAAAUAUGCCAGUGAGGUACUAGUUAGGUUCCUCAAGCCUAAGGAGUGUUGAGGAACUUCAGAAGUAUCAAUCCAAGCCAGAUAAUCUGGCAACCCAUGAAAUGCUAUGUAGACCAGUGCAACAUAAGGCAUGUUAAAAGAAACAAUUUAAACUUCUCAUAUACACCAAGUUCUGAAUUAAUGAUAACCUUACCAAAAAAACUAGGUGUAUUUUAGCAAAUAUGUAUACUUAGCACAUCAUAAAUAAUUUAGUGUUUUGCCCUGGGGAGAGAAAAGGCAAAAGAAAGAAGCAUGGAAUAGGUACUAGUCCAGCACUUAUCGCACUGCUGCAAUGGUGUCCAACGUUUUCAUCUUGAGGGCCAAACAUGUUUCAAAAAGGUGAAGGCUAAAACCAGUACUCUGAGGCACAAUCUUUGUCAUGUGCCACCCUCUUUGCACUACUCAGAUAGCAGAAAGGCGGCAGAAACCACCCAUGAGAACCCAGCAGCCCGAGAGAUGACAUAGCUCCCUUCUGGGCCUCAUGUUGAAUUCCAGCUAUCUCCAUUGUGGCUCAUAGCUGGCACAAGUUAGAGCAGCCCUCAAGCUGCUGUAACCUGCACUAGAGCUGCAGCACAGAAUCCAGAAGCCAUAUUUGGUGGCUGGUUCAGUCCCCACCUCCACCCAUCUCUCCUCAGCUGCCCGGGUGCUUUUGUGGGAGAUGGGUGCUGUCCUGUGCUAGGCACUCCCCUAGACUCAGAUAGAGCUACUCAAGCUCCUCUACUGCUCUUGGAAGUCCCGUAGUCAUCAGGGAAACAGGUAAUGGAGCAGCCAGAUUUGUUUUCUUCCUCUGGGAUGCAGCAGGUAGCUAGUGGGGAGCUGCUGAGUAGCGGUAGCAAGGAAAACAUGCAUCAGAGCUGCUUCAGGGGAAGUGAUGGGAAGUAGUCACCCUAACCUACUCCCUUUAGUGAUGGGCUGAUUCAAGACACUUCAGAUUGAAAGUUGCACACCGUAGCUCAGAGAACACAUUUUUAGGUCUUUUAAAUGCAAAUUUUCUCAAAGCAGCUCCCUUUGAGAGCCAUGGAGUAGACACAGUGCACUGGAAGUCACUUAGAUACUAUGAUGAGUGUGGUAUAAAAACCUGAACAGAACAAAAUACACAGUCAUGCAGUAAUAGAAUAAGAUGUUUAUCUCUAUCUCAUAAUAGAGCCUAUGGCAAAACUGUAUUGCAGCUGUUACCUAAAUAGAUGGUGCUGGUGUCAUCUUGAUAUCUCUGUUGGUUCUGGUUAUCUAAACUCAAAUGGGGAAGAGCAGAAAUUGAAAGGCAAAGUGAUUGGCGAGGAUUCCCAUGGGAGGAGAGCUGAGGUAUAGGUGACUAGGACUGUUUAAUUUGGAGAAUAAAAGGAGAUAGAUACUCUCCCGCCAAUUCAUUUAUACUUAAGUGUUCUUAUUGCCAUUUUCCACUAUACAAGAACUGUUCCCUUAAGUAAUUGAAUAGCAACAUUUAAAAUUGAUUUUAAUAUUUAUACAUUGUAUAAUUAACCUGUGGAGCUUGCUGCCACAGAGUAUUAUUUUAUCAAAUCUCUUUGCAAACGCCAAACGUGUUCUUGAUUGCAUCCGUAGUCACAUCAUCUAGGAGAAAAUUACAAAGGUCAGUCUGUAUGCUUCGUGACAUAAACUGGUCCACUGAGGUCAGGAAGGAAUCCCACACCCCAUCUGCUAUAGUAUUUUAUAGUUUGGUGUGUUAUGUGGGGAUUACAUCUUCCUUGGAAGCAUCACACAUUGGCCACUUGGAAACAGGAUACAGGACUAGACAACUGGUCUAUUCUAAUAUAACAAUUCUUUAUAAGAGCUAGAUGUUGUUAUUGUGUUCUUAGGUACAAAAUGACCCCCUACAGCUCCUGUCGCUGCUGAUCCCCAUUCCAGAUCCCCGGAAGGACACAAGGGACUAUAUCCUGUCUCAGGAGUGAUACAAAUGUUAUCUGGAGCUGUUUGACUGCUGGAAUCCUACUCUGAGAAGGUGGGUAUAGAAUUGCAUGCUUUAUACAGUUCCUUUUCUGAUUUUCCCUUUCUCUCUGAUGAGAGUGCACAUUGGGGCACAAGGUCUCAGGCUGGCUUAAAGUAUUGCUGUAAAAACGGAGCCUAUUAAUCAGCACUGAGGCUUUUACCCCCAAGUCUUCAGAUGUGCUGUCCAUGACCUACUUGUGUGUAUGUUUGUUCUUUUGAUGGCACCCUAGAAUGGUGUGUAUAUGUGGACACUGCUCUUUCCGCUAUUAAGUAAUAUAUUAAACAGUUAAUGUGAAAUGA